CUCCUGCAAUUAAAAGUAUAGGAGGUCCAGCCUGCCCAGUGACUACGGGUUCAACGGCCGCGGUAUAUUGACCGUGCAAAGGUAGCGCAAUCACUUGUCUUUUAAAUAAAGACCUGUAUGAAUGGCUAGACGAGGGCUUAACUGUCUCCCCCCUUCAGUCAGUGAAAUUGAUCUAUCCGUGCAGAAGCGGGUAUAAUUAUAC
rnacentral:rRNA from 1 species